ACUUAAAUUGAAGAGUUUGAUCAUGGCUCAGAUUGAACGCUGGCGGCAGGCCUAACACAUGCAAGUCGAGCGGUAGCACAGAGAGCUUGCUCUCGGGUGACGAGCGGCGGACGGGUGAGUAAUGUCUGGGAAACUGCCUGAUGGAGGGGGAUAACUACUGGAAACGGUAGCUAAUACCGCAUAACGUCGCAAGACCAAAGUGGGGGACCUUCGGGCCUCAUGCCAUCAGAUGUGCCCAGAUGGGAUUAGCUAGUAGGUGGGGUAACGGCUCACCUAGGCGACG
rnacentral:rRNA from 1 species